rnacentral:tRNA from 1 species
GGCCCUGUGGCGCAACGGUAGCGCAUCUGACUCCAGAUCAGUAGGUUGUCCGUUCGUAUGCCGGGGUCA